GAAAGCAAGCUUAGGAGAAAACCAACCAUGGCACGCAGAUCACCUCCUCCUCCUCCUUCUCCUUCACCUGCACAGUCUGAUGUUUCUAAUUUGGUGAGAGUAAUGGAAUCUUUUGUGGUGGCGAUGCAACAACAGAAUGCAUCAUUGAUACAACAAAACACAGUUGCAUUACAACAAUUGGAGGCUGCUAGGGUGUCAGCUGAGGCACACCAGAGGCAAUUUGUGGAACUAAUAAACGGUGGUGCAAGAGCUCCCGCUGACCCAUUCUAUAUUCCGCCCACUCCUAUUCAAGAGUGGAGUCUAGAGAAUUUUCUUCAACAUCAUCCAGCUAAAUUUUGUGGCAAUACCAGUGCCGACGAAGCAGACCAAUGGUUUAGAGAUAUGGAGAGAAUUUUCAAUGCCAAAAACUGCCCAGACGAUAAUAGAUUGGCUUAUACUGAAUAUUUGUUGUCAGGAGAAGCCAGUCAUUGGUGGACCAGUACGAGAACACUGUUGGAAAGGAGUGGUAAACCGAUCACUUGGAACUUAUUCCAGAAUAAGUUCUAUGCUGAGUACUUUCCGGACAGUGUAAGGUAUACCAAGGAAGUAGAAUUUCUCCAGUUAGUGCAAAGGGGAAUGACUGUGACAGAAUAUGCCGAUAAAUUUAAGCAUCUUAGUCGCUUCCAUACUCUGGAUAUGGAUGAAGAAUGGCAGUGUAGGAAGUUUGAAAAUGGACUGAGAGGAGA
rnacentral:sRNA from 1 species